rnacentral:lncRNA from 1 species
GUGAGGAAACUAAGAUAGAUAAAGACCAGGUGAACUGUCCAAAUGACACAGCUACCCUGGGGCUGGCAAACUCCAAACGCUUUUAACCUUGGUCCUACAGAGGAGUGGUGCAGCAGAUCCAGAGGCACCUUCAGCUGUGUAGCAGAAGUGGAGAUGUUUUUAACAUGCCAGAGCUAUGCCUUUUGCCAGACCCACCCAGAGCUCUUCUGGAAACUGCAAGUCUGUUGGACACCAGGACACGUUUUCCCCCAUCCACAUUCUGCAGUGGAUCCUUUCUGGGCUGCAGCAGCUGUUGUAGGGGAGGUUUUUUUCCCCCACCAGAAAAUUCAAAAGUAGGAAUUGAUCAUCAGAAAAUUGAGUUGCAUUGAAAACUCUCUUCAGCUUAAAAGAUGCACACACAGAUGUGUGUCAGCCUGGCCUAGUGCCAGUUCACCACUCACAGAGGCAGACAGCAGGUCUGUAAAAAAAAUAAAAAAUCACCUCACAGUAUCUGCUACCUGAAU